CGCCUCCCGCACGGGCAGCCCGUGCCGGGGAGCAUCGCCCUCCACGUCAGCUGUCAAAGAGAAGCAGAGAGAGCACACCCGUCCUUCCCGAGGGGAUGCGUCCUCUCCAGCCGCUGCCGUCCCGCGCCCUCACAGCCCUCAGUCUAGAGACUUGCUCCUCACUUCAGAGGCCAUCCUGUAUGCAGAAUUGAGGUAAACCAGACCUUCAGUGGACUAAACUUCCAUGAAAGAGCCUUUCUACUGAGCCUAGUGUCAUCCGUCUGGGGUCUCCACACAGGAAUUUAUCUGUGGUUAAUCUUUUGGCCUGCUUAACUGCCUGAACUACCUCACCACAACAACUGCCUGAGCCAAGGAUGGGGCAGGACAGCAUCACUGUGGGCCAGGGAGAGGGUGAGACUGCAGCAGUUUCAAUGCUUACUGGAUUAAACUGCAGACUGAACUAAAAAUCUUCAAUGCAAAAUGCCAUCAUAGCACAGGAGGUGUGAAAACUGUAAAUCAUCCAAAGUACAGAACAACAUCUGAGUGCUUCUGAGACCUCAAGAAAAUCUUUUAAGCUAAAUGGAAUACAUUUAUAAGAAUGUCCACAUUUUUGUAAGAGAUCAGCAGUUUUUUCUCCCCAAAAUUACCAGAAAAGAAGGUAUUUUUUUCAAUGUGUUAAGAGUAUCAGCUAUGGCAGACAUCUGCAUUAGGACAGCUAGAGAAAUAUAGAAAUGUGUCUCCAGCUAAAUAAAUCUCUACUUCUUAAUGGAAAAGAAAAGGAAACAAUUCAACCAAAAUGGUACUUACUUGUGAAUUUAGAACGCCGCCCGCCCAACCCACACUGGCGGAUUUUGCCGCCCCGAAACAGGCCGUAGUAUAUUUCUCCAAUGAACUUGACCAGCUCUGGAUCUGUGGCAUUGACCAAGUCAGCUCCUGUUUUGCAAAGGAUCUUUCCCGUCAUCCACUUUGGAGUCCCCAUUGCAACAACAAUCAAGAAAGAGGACACAAAACUUAUUAGAGAA